rnacentral:lncRNA from 1 species
AACUCGAUCGCUAUUACGAUUCAACGUCCGAUCGAUUAUAACUAUCCAACGAUUGUUUGAGUGCUGCUCAAAUUGAGUUUAUAUUUUGUUAUUCAUCGUGAUUUCGACUUGAAUGUUUGAGUGCUGUCUAAAUUCAGACGAUACUCUGUCAUUCGUUGUGAAUCCGCUGAAUUGUUAAGUAUUGCACUUUGUUAAUCGUUUUCAGGGUUUAAUCUCGUGAAUUGUCGUAAAUGCUGUAUUAGUUAUUUACCUAGUUUCGUGUGCAUCAUUUCCUAAAUUAGGUUAUUAGUCUUACCAAUAGGCUAAACUUCACCUCAUACACCUACAAUCAAAAUAGAUGCUAAUUCUCUGAAGAACCUGAAUCAUGAAGCUUGUUAAUUCAAUACUGCAUGCUUAUAAUGUAAUUUCAGUAGAUUGGAGUAAGAAUUGGAUCCGGCACUGAAGGCAUCAAGAAGUGGCUUAUUUUAUUAAUUUAAUCAACUUAAGAAAUAUUGUUUUUAGGGUUUAUCCCGUAUUAAAAGCUACCUUUGUAAAACAUGGAAUUUAUUCCAUCUAUUUAAAUAAAAUCUGGUGUUUCUAAACU